rnacentral:rRNA from 1 species
CAAUAGCGUAUAUUAAAGUUGUUGCAGUUAAAACGCUCGUAGUCGGAUUUCGGGGCCUGCCUGCCGGUCUGCCGAUGGGUAUGCACUGGCAGGCGCGUCCUUCCUUCCGGAGACUGUCCCUACUCUUAACUGAGCGGGGUCGGGAGACGGAUCGUUUACUUUGAAAAAAUCAGAGUGUUUCAAGCAGGCAGCUCGCUCUUGCAUGGAUUAGCAUGGGAUAAUGAAAUAGGACUUUGGUGCUAUUUUGUUGGUUUCGAACACCGAAGUAAUGAUUAACAGGGACAGUCAGGGGCACUCGUAUUCCGCCGAGAGAGGUGAAAUUCUCAGACCAGCGGAAGACGAACCACUGCGAANGNAUUUGCNAGGGAUGUUUNCACUG